AGGGUGGCCCUGGGCCGGGGGCCAGGAGGAUGUGGUCGCAUCACCCUGCUGCAGGGUCCCAGCGGGCUGCCCAGAGAAAGAGCGGACAGAGUGGCCCUUUAUCCUCCUUCCUGCCGGCUGACAGUGGCUUAUCUCACUAGAACCCUUCCGGAGACCUGGGUCACUUUCUGGAAUGUUCCGAUCUCCAAGAGCCUGAAGAACUGGGUGUGCACACCGUCUGUGCACAGCCCUGCAAGGCCCUGAUCCAGACCCAGCUCCCGGGGACGGGCGGCGGCAGACAGGGGAGCCGGACUGCGUGGAGCCUCUUUCUGAAGACCCCCUUCCACAGGAGCGGGCAGCACCUCACGAUUCCACGGAAAAGGAUUUUCAGUCCCCUUAACCUAAAAAUGACCUUGUUUAAUAGUAACGUUUGCUAAGACGGGAGUCCUUGGUACUUUAAUGAGAAAUUUUACAUUUUCUUACUGGCCGGAUUGGCUCCUGGAAACCAGAACUGGUUUGUGGGGGUGCUUCUCGGCCCCCGGGUCGGUAUCCUGGGACCCCCGUGCAGACCGGUCCCGCAUCCUCUGGCGCACGCUGGGGUCUGACCGCUUUGGGAGAGUGUCCUUCUGCAGAGCCAUCGGCAACAGGAAGGGGGUGCCCCCGGCCCCAGAGCUUCCCCCCAGCCUCCUCACAUAAGGCCAGGUGGCAUCGGGGGUCCUCUGCCCGGUGAGGGACCCCAGGUCUGGCCGCCAGCGUGGUCUGGCUCUCCAUGGCAGGUGUCACCAGGAGACUACCGUUCCGGCGCCCAGGAAGUCCUGAGUGCGCUCCGGGCACACCCGGGCCAGGGUACAUGCAGCGGGAGCGCCCAGCAUGGUCUUCCCCGGAGCCCCGUCAGCGCUCACCCGCGCCACUGCCGGCCGGCGGCCUCUGCGUGCCUGGCUCUCCGCUCCAGCGCGUGAGCUCUGGUUCUGGUGGAGGCUCUGAGUUUUGUAAAAUUUUAUUAAAUAAAACAGCCCGGAUAAACCCA